rnacentral:lncRNA from 1 species
GUAUCCACGGCACGACCUGUGGAUUCUGGGGAUCCGAGAAAUGCAAAAUCUAAAAGUGGUUCUGCAGGAAGUUCACCUGGUUUUGGAUCAAAUCCGUCUUUUCUCCCGGCCUCACCCCUCCUAUCGAGAAAGGAAAAGCUUGCUCCCAAUCAGAGGCAUAAAUCAGCCCAGGUGCGCUCCCAGCCUGCCGGCUUGCUUGGAAACGCUGCCAGCCCGCGGCAGAGACUCCACUGUGGGACCAGCCUCUGCGAACGUCUGCUCCAGGGUUAGGGAGCUUCCAGCAAACUCCGGCCAAAUGUUGGCAGACAGCCCACAAGCUCCAGCCAAGUUUGGGGUCUUUUAUAAACUGAAACUGAGAAUUCUGCUGCUUUCUGAGAGGGCUUCCGUUACCGCCCAGGCUGCCUCCCCCGGACACGUGUGCAAACACAGCGUUCUCUUGCACGUGGCAUGUGAGGAUUAUCGCUCCUUUGCUCAUGAAUGGGGCACAGUUUCCAGCGUCAGGGGCCAGGGGCUAUCCAUCCCUGUGGAUUUCCAGCUGAGCCGAAGAACUGGCACGAGGGCCGGGCAGAUGCACCACACACCUGGCCUGGCACACCUGGCCCGGCACGCCCAACUUGCCACCUCGACCAAAGUCCUCUGUGUGUCUGGUUGGCAGCUUGCUCGGCUGGUCCCAGCUUCCCAGGUUGCACCGGGGCUGUGAUCACUCCAGCCCUCCCAACAGCAUCGUGCCAAGGCAGAACCAUGGCGAACAACACAGACCCUGUCUCCUGCACCAUCCCUCAGCAUCCAGUUCAGGACAGAAUCGCCUCCAAUAUUCUCACACGUGUAUUCAGGGGCAUCGCUGUUGUGACGUCCAUAAGCAAACUCAGUAGGAAUCCCUCACUGCUCCCCAAGAGGUGGAUUCACAGGGCCGUCUUUCUGUAGUUACUUUUAAAGCUGUUCCAUCCACUUUUCUUAGAUGUCUGAUUAUGCCCAGGUUCAAGGUGAUGGACUCAUGAUUUAAAAACAAAACAUCUGUCUGCCAGCCUUGUCCUCCUCCUUAAUGCCCUCUAGCUACUCGUGUUGUCUCCAUAAUGUCCCAAAAGGAUUAUUUUCGGCCCCUCUGAAAAGGGAAAAUUGGAAAAAACAGCCGCUUUUAUUGCGGGCAUGUCUAUUUCAGACUUAGAUUUAUAAAUUCAUCUCUGUGGCCUCAUCACUCGUAAAUAGCAUCAGUCCCCCGGCUUUGGAGUCAGGAGGAGCCCCCCACGCAGGAGGAGAGCCCCAACUCACCUCCAGCAUCCACGCUGAGGCCAACCGUCCAGGCUCCUCUGUGGCCUCUGUUACUGGAGGAUUUCAGGCUGUUUUUCACAUAACUUGGGUUUGAUUAAAACCCCAAAUGCAUUUGGCCAACCGCCUUCCCCUCUGAUUUCUUAGCAUAUAUUUAUUUUAAGGGAAAUAUAAGCCGUGCAUCUCUGAUUCACUCAUUGCUUCGUCCACGCUGGCUGGCGGUGGUUGGUGGGUUUCUGGGGCUGCCCGGGGCUGGCCCCAGGUCCUUUAAAGAGACACAACCGCCCAGUCCCUGAAGCCCUCAGGGUCCUCACACACGGGAGGCCAUCCCUCCCGGGAUGCGACUGGACCACACGAGAGAACCUAUAAACGUCCAGCGUGGAUGUGUCUUUCAGAUCUGAACGGGUUGAGAUUUUGUUGUCGUUGUAACUGAGAACCUGUGAUUUUACCAGUGGUUUUAGACUUGGAAAAGGCCAUUUUCUCCACCCUCGACCGACAGAUUGCUCAGGUUUGAUGGACGCAUCCGGAGUAGACCACGCGGCCACACCUCACAAAUCCACCAUCUCCCCGUGGCUUUGUUUUCCAAGCUCAUGGGUUAAGGUUGGUGGAUGAAGAAGAAGAAGAAAGAGGCAAACCUUUUAUUAAAGAUGCUCCCUCUGACCUCCCACAGCUCAGCGAGGUCUUCUCAGGAGAGAAACACAGGGCUCUGAGGCGGGGUCUUGUGUCACCACAGGAGGUGAU